AGUGAACGCUGGCGGUAGGCCUAACACAUGCAAGUCGAACGGCAGCACAGUAAGAGCUUGCUCUUACGGGUGGCGAGUGGCGGACGGGUGAGGAAUACAUCGGAAUCUACUUUUUCGUGGGGGAUAACGUAGGGAGACUUACGCUAAUACCGCAUACGACCUACGGGUGAAAGCAGGGGAUCUUCGGACCUUGCGCGAUUGAAUGAGCCGAUGUCGGAUUAGCUAGUUGGCGGGGUAAAGGCCCACCAAGGCGACGAUCCGUAGCUGGUCUGAGAGGAUGAUCAGCCACACUGGAACUGAGACACGGUCCAGACUCCUACGGGAGGCAGCAGUGGGGAAUAUUGGACAAUGGGCGCAAGCCUGAUCCAGCCAUACCGCGUGGGUGGAGAAGGCCUUCGGGUUGUAAAGCCCUUUUGUUGGGAAAGAAAAGCAGCAGGUUAAUACCCCGCUGUUCUGACGGUACCCAAAGAAUAAGCACCGGCUAACUUCGUG
rnacentral:rRNA from 1 species